CCUGCCCAGUGACAUAGUUCAACGGCCGCGGUAUCCUAACCGUGCAAAGGUAGCAUAAUCACUUGCCCAUUAAUUGUGGGCUAGAAUGAAAGGACUAACGAAAUAAAAGCUGUCUCUAUAAGAAAUAUGUAAAUUAAUCUCUAACUGAAGAGUGUUAGAUAAAAUCGAAGGACAAGAAGACCCUAUAGAGCUUUAUUUUUAUAAAGACACACACUUUAAAUAAAUUCGGUUGGGGCGACCUGGGAUAUUAAUAAACACCCCCAAUAAAAAGAUAAAUAAAUCUAAAUAAAGACCCUAAAAAGAUCACCAAAACAAGCUACCUUAGGGAUAACAGGCUAAUCCCACUAGAGAGUCCUUAUUUAUAGUGGGGGUUGGCACCUCGAUGUUGGCUUAGGGAAACUCUGUGGCGCAAAAGUCACAUAAAGAUGGUUUGUUCAACCAAUAAAACCCUACAUGAGCUGAGUUCAGACCGGCGUAAGCCAGGUUAGUUUCUAUCCUCGAUAAACAAAUCUACCCGUAGUACGAAAGGACCCGGGCAUGAAUAAUUAUUAUACAUAAAGAAUAAAUUUAAUAUUAAAUAAUUAACAUACAACAUAAACUA
rnacentral:rRNA from 1 species